UUAGCUGUGGGUUCUUAUUUCCGCUUUCACUAAAUCUUGAAUGAUUGUGCCUCAAGUAUUCAAUUUGUUCUGCAUGUACAUUAGUUAAAUUAGCCAUACAAGGAAGGUUUGUUAUUUUGGGUGCUCCUGCCCUCUCUAAAUUCCCCCUGCAUAUAUAGUAGUUGGGUACCCUGGAGCUCCUCAAACUAAGCCCCAAGCAUCGCCGCCUGGGAUCUCCAGGAUCGACACGCGUCCAUCCUUACCCAGACCGUGCAUAGCUGGCCAUGGCGUUCGUGAUGUAGCCGUAGUAGCAGCCAUCCAUACAGGAAGGCUCCAUCCUAGGUUCAGGCUACAUAUUUAUUUAGUCGCUUGCCUAGAAAGGUUGGAUCUUAGUUUGCUUCCCACAUAAUUUGCUCAGUAUUUAAUACAUAGUCCUAGGUUUACUAAAAUCUGCAUAGUAUUUUUCUGCAGAUAGUUAUGGAUGUGAACUUUGCAAAACUUUUGUACAAGAUUUGCGGCCCUCUGAUGAAUCAUGAAAAUUGUUUAUAGGCUUGACACACACUCAUGUUUGUGUUUUAAUUAAUGUGUUGUAAAGUUGGUCGUAAAAUAUUAAUUAUUGUGUUCAUAGGCUAAUUAAAGUUAUUUGGGGCAGUACUAAUGUGGUUCUGUUUGGCUCAAUGUGCGGACUACGCUUCAUUUGGAUGGGGCGCGUUCUACACAUCAACAUCAGAGGUGGUGUUCAGAUGAGCAAAAUUCAUUAGCUGGUAUAUUGGGCUUCAAGAUUAGGUGACUUUUGAUUUAACUGUGAGUUUUCCUGUCCAUGGAUCAGUAGCAUGCCAACAAGGUGAAGACCUUUGCCUGACACAAACUACAAAUAAGAACGAGCUGAUGCUCUACAAGAAAGCAAUUGUUGGCUGUACCAACACCAAUUUGGAUUACUCUUUUAAUAAUCUUUGAAAUUAUUGUUAGCUUCAAAAUUUUCCACCAUGGAAAAAUAGCUUGAUGGGAUACUAAUGCAGGGCUAUUUGAGUCUUUUGGUGUACUUUAUUAUUUAGUUGUGUCUACUUGUAUGAGUAAUUCUUUUUGUAAUGUAUAUGUUUGUGCUAUAAUCAUCCUAUUAGACCGCACUACAGAAAUGGUCAUUGAUCUUCCUACACUAAA